ensembl:lncRNA
CGCCCUGUCUGCUCCCCAGCAGAUGGUCCGAGGGAAGAAGAUGGAGAGGAAAAAAAAAAGAAGAUAAAUGACUGCGUGCAAGAGUUUCAAAAUAGCGAUCCUGGUGCGGGCCUCUCAAGGACAGAGCAGUAAUGAGGGUGGACUGGAUUUAACCUUGAAGAGUACAGGAGACGGAGAAGCGUUUCGACCCUUUCCCCAUCGUCCACCCUUUGCACCUCUCUCCUCUUGACCAGGUGUGUCUGCUCAGCUGCCGCACGCACAACUGCAUGUUGGAAAGUUUAUCAUUACCUAAUUGCUGCUGUCGACUCCAAUUGGGAUUUUAGGUGAAUGUUGCCAGCUGCUGCUCCCUGCUGCCAAAAUGCCUCGUCCUUCCUGACUUCAUGUUUGAUUCUGCUUCGGAUUUGCUGCCCGUGGAAAGUGAAGCUUGUUCAGUGGACACAGCACACAAGUCCAACAUCCUGUGAAGAUCGCUCCUGCGCGAUCGGACAGCCGUGCCACAUGAGCGCCGCCGAGGAAGCCGUGCUCCUGGGGAGCAACACAUUGGUCUUCAACCUGAGGUUUUUGCGUGUGGAAAUCAAAGGCCUGCUGGACUGUGAAGGAGGAUUUCCACUGCUCUGCGUGUCGGUGUGCCUCUGAUGUGGGUGAAGGAGGCCCGUGGAUGUCCUGUGCUGCCCAGAGCUCCUGUGGCCCAAAGGUAGGUACUGAACGGAGCAUCAGGAACCCUCCACUGAGCACCAGCACCGUGCGCGUCUAUUGUUCCUUGUUCUAUUUUUAUCUAUGUUAAUAAGGAAUCAAAAAAAAGGAGCUUGUCUCCAUUUUAAUUAAAGCAUAAAGCUAACAGGAAGCUUCGACGGCACUUGUCCGUUCGCGUUAUCGCCGUCUCCCGGUGUCAUGUUUGGUCUCUGAUCCUCCCUUCGCCUCCUGAACCAGUAGCUUCUCAUUUGCUCUGUCACUCUUCUGCAGUGUUUUAUUGCUUUCCCAGGGGAGCCUUGUGCUUUUGUUAGCUUUUCUGUGAACACACACAGCCUAAUUGGUUGAUUAGUUCAGGUUGACUGGCCUGUUAAUUGAAUAGUAAUUUGGAUUUGAUGUGUCUAAUGAAGAUCCUAAUUUAUUGUUUGGCACUCGUCCAAGGGUUUGUUUCUGAGCGCAGGAAUCAAACAAAAGCCAUGAAAGGAAACAAGAAAAUGAUUGACUGUUGCGCUGCUGCUUUGAUAGCACAUGAAUUAAGUCUUUGGUUAAGGCGAUACCACUUAAGGGUGCUUAUCUCCUCAAAAUGAAGCUGAUAUACACAACAGGAUGGCAUCAAUUGGAGUAAAAGCCAGUGGAGGUUUGAGCUACAGAGCUUUUUGUCUACGAAAGAAGAAAGAAACAUUUAUACAUUCUGAAUGAAUAUCCUGCAGUAGCUAAGGUUAAGGUACUGACUGGCAGCCAUGUUUAGAGUCUUUUCUCUUUCACUAGUUUUAGAUUCCAGUGAAACAAAAGGUCAUUUUCUUUAGCUCUAAUCAUGCUGAAGAUGCUUCACAGACAGUGAAGACGUCCCUCUGGUCACAAAAGUACUGAACCUCCUUCAGCUUUUGGGAUCCAAUGCUCUGCUGCUCUCAUUGGAACCUUCUGGAUCACAGUUCGUGCUCGGCGA